rnacentral:lncRNA from 1 species
CUGUUCAUCUCCCUGGGAUGAAAGUUUCUUGCACGGAAGCAUCAAUGUCAAUGUUGUAUUUCAGGGAUAUCCGGUACAAGAAGCGACUGUUCCUGAAUGAUCCACAAAAAAGAUGGGCUGAACUGCAAUAUUGGCAAUAUCUGAAGGAAAGGGGGAAGAUGAAGCCAGAAAGACAGGUCCACCAUCUCAGAACGCCACUGGUCUCCUGGGAGUCAUUCAUUGACGGGCAGCAGGACGGGGAGGCGCUGGGUUUCCUUCUGCUCAGGAGGACCUUUCUUUUUUUAAGGCUGCACAUCAUUCCUGGGCUGCUGACUGAAUAUAGAUGUGGUUUAAUUUUAUAGUAGGCUAUUGGUAAUAUAUAUUUCUUUAUAACGUGGGAAUUGAUUUAAAACAUGUAACGCUUUCUGAAUGACUUCCAGACAUAAAGUUUUAGCUUUCCGGUCUGAAAAUAUUGACUGUAAUUAUUAAAUGUUUAAGGUGCUCCACUGGUAGUAGAAAUGUAUUUUGAGUGCUAUUUACCAUUUCCUUUGCUGAGCUGAAUUUUGUUAUAGUUUCUCUUUUUUUUUUUUUUCUAAU